UACAGAGGGUGCAAACGUUGCUCGGAAUCAUUGGGCGUAAAGCGCACGUAGGCGGCGCGUUAAGUCGGAUGUGAAAGCCCCGGGCUCAACUCGGGAAGUGCAUACGAAACUGGCGCGCUUGAGUAUGGAAGAGGGUCGCGGAAUUCCCGGUGUAGAGGUGAAAUGCGUAGAUAUCGGGAGGAACACCUGUGGCGAAAGCGGCGCACUGGACCAUAACUGACGCUGAUGCGCGAAAGCUAGGGGAGCAAACAGG
rnacentral:rRNA from 1 species